rfam:Oryza rufipogon genomic scaffold, chr01
AAAUAGACAAACCCUGGGUUUUCGCAUCCAACGUUUAAUUGUCCGUCUUAUAUGAAUUUUUUUAUAAUUAGUAUUUUUAUUAUUGUUAGAUGAUAAAACAUGAUUAAUAAUUUAUGUGUGACUUGUCUUUUUAAUUUUUUAAAUAAGACAGACAGUCAAACGUUGGACACGGAAACCCAGAGUUUGUCUUUUU